UUACGCAUAAAUAUUGAUUGUCACGUGUCAUGUUUUGAUUGAAUGAUGAAUAGAAAAAUAUUAGAUCUAACUUUUGAGCGCAUAUUUUCAUGUCUAAUCAGGAUAUGACAUUUGACAGUCAAUAUUU
rfam:Glycine soja cultivar W05 scaffold1570_100, whole genome shotgun sequence.